rnacentral:sRNA from 1 species
AUGUUGUCAAUGGGAAAAGUUUUGGUUGAUAUCAAGAAGAGCGGUUCCAAGGAGAUAACUUUUGAACAGAGAAGAGAUCUGAUCAGCUCUAUGGUGAAAUGGGCUAGAGCUAUCGGCCUAUUCGUGAAGGCGGCCUCUGAGCGUAAAGGAAAAUCUAUUGAUCUAGCACCUUUUGGAAUUGAUUAUGAAAACAAUGUCGGAAAUGGAAAAGGUAACUUUAGAACCGGCCCUGUUCUCAUAGACGACGGCAGCGAGCUCUAAUCUUCCAACGAAAAAGGCUCCCAAGUAAACAAGAAAUAUGUAACAAUAUAUGGAGACAGCCCUGCUUUGUUAAACAGCAGCGUGCUGUAGAACAUUUUUGGUUAUUGUAAAAACUAUAUUAAUCAUAUUACUAAAAUAAAAUUAUUACAAAUCUUAACUCGUUAAACAGAAGCUUUACC